rnacentral:rRNA from 1 species
UGAGGAAUAUUGGUCAAUGGGCGGGAGCCUGAACCAGCCAAGCCGCGUGAGGGAUGAAGGCCCUAUGGGUCGUAAACCUCUUUUGUCAGGGAACAAAAGCGAGUAUGUAUACUAGUCUGAGUGUACCUGAAGAAAAAGCAUCGGCUAACUCCGUGCCAGCAGCCGCGGUAAUACGGAGGAUGCGAGCGUUAUCCGGAUUUAUUGGGUUUAAAGGGUGCGUAGGCGGCGGUGCAAGUCAGCGGUAAAAGCCCGGGGCUCAACCCCGGCGAGCCGUUGAACUGCAGUGCUAGAGAAGGCGAGAGGUACGCGGAAUGCGCAGUGUAGCGGUGAAAUGCUUAGAUAUUGCGCAGAACUCCGAUUGCGAAGGCAGCGUACUGGCGCCUGACUGACGCUGAGGCACGAAAGCGUGGGGAUCGAACAGGAUUAGAUACC